CGAAAAGCUCUUUGAGUUGGACAGAAGCUGGCUUGAGGAGACCCAGCCCUCCUUUUCUGAAGAUGAAAGAAAACAAACACACAAAAGGCAAAAGGAAAAAUUAGCUCAGCAGAAAACCCAGUGCUCUGCUCCUGGCUGGAUCCCCUCCAGGGGAACAGCGGGUGGCCCGAGCCCCUGAAGCCUGGCGAUGCCGGCCAGCACCUGCCUGCCCAACACUUCCAGCUGCCUGCUUUGCCCCCGCCGCACAUCAGGGAUGUCAGGCACAGCCGCCGCCGGCUCAGGGCACGGUUUUACAGGUGUUCGAGGCCAUUGAUUGAAAUGCUUCAUAACCUGAGCUGAAGACCGGUUCUUUGGUACCCUGUUAGCGAUGCACCAGCACAUGGACCCCAAAGCCACAGUGCCACUGAGACCCACCAGCCAGUUUUAAAUGCACCUAAACUGUGCCGUGCUGCAGAGCUGUCCUGCUGUCGUACUGCAACGCUGUACUGUGGGAAUCGGGAAAGCACCGUUUUGUUUCUUACAGCAAAAAUCCAACUGAUGGGGUUAAUCUUUCCUGCAGGCAAAGCCUGUGCUGGAGGAAAACCCCAAACCCCUUCUGGAAUCUGGCCUGAGGACCAUGUCCUGCUGCAGUGACGGUGGCGCUGGCCGAGGACCCUGCCACCAGCCAGCACCCCGUGCCGCCACCCUGCCCCGCUGCCCCCGCCUCGGUGCUCGUGACCCGCCUCUGCGGAAGGGCUCCUGGGCAAAACCUCAAAGGGGCACCCUUCGCUAUUUCAGCUGACCUGCCCCAACCACCAGCUGGACGUCGAUGGGCGUCCUGCCUCCCGCCAGCAUCCUCCAGACGCGGCGGGAAAUGCUCCUUGAACAGCAGCAGGGGGUUUGCCCGCCUUUGCACAGCUUUGGGGUGACUUUCUAACCAAGGCAGAGGUACCCGAGUGGGAAGUUUUAGCAGGGCCUGUAGCGAUAGGACAAGGAGUGAUGGUUUUAAAAUGAAAGAGGGGAGAUUCAGAUUGGAUCUAAGGAAGCAAGUUUUUAGGAUAAGGGUGGGGAAACCCUGGCCCAGGUUGCCCAGAGAGGUGGCCGAUGCCCCAUCCCUGGGAACCUCCCAGGCCAGGCAGGACGGGGCUCUGAGCGACCUGCUCUAGCUGAAGAUGUCCCUGCUCAUGGCAGGGGGUUGGGCUGGAUGGGCUCUAAAGGCCCCUUCCCACCCAAACUGUUCUGUGACUCUAUGAUUCUACAGACCUGUGGUGUCCAAGAAGAGGAGGAGAAAUGUUUCACGUCUCACGGGUUGUGGGAAGAGCAUUCAUUACAAACCCACCGAAGGAACGACGCGGGAAAAGGUUCGAGAGGCUGAGGUGUGGCGACGGCGUCUCGCUCCGGCGCAGGAGGUGGUGAAGGCUGUAAUGCCUCAUUUACCUCUCAGGGCUGGAUCAAUGCGCCGCUUGUAUUUACUUCCCUCAGCGUCAGAAGUGUGGACCAAAUCCUUGAGAAGUGCCAACCAGACAAUUGUCUUGGGUAUGAUUAAAUAAAAUUAUUAAAUAGGGCCUAUUCCUUUUUUAAUUAGAUUGCAUCAGAGCUUCUUCCAUUACAGAGAAGAUGAUUCGGUUCAAUUACCUUUAUUCUCAGAUGUGAAGCAUUCUAACACACUUUUUUUUUCCUUUGUUAAAUUAAUUUAAUUAGAAAACACUAUUUUUAUGAAACAGGAUACCGUAGCCUCAAGAAAUGAAUUUUCGUAUGCAGAAUACUUGGGGAAAAAAAGCAAUGAAAAUAAUUUUGAUAAGCCUCAGACAGAAUAUCUCUAUUGUUGCUCAUGCCCUGAGGUUAUAUUUUUAAUUGCUUGUAAUAAAUAUAACUUUAUUAAUUAGAAAUUAUCUCAAAAGGAAAGAGACUUUUUUUCUGCUUUUAUGGUAUACAGAGGCUUAAAAUAAAAUUACUGCUCCUAGGGGUAGGCACAUCUAAUUUACCUUUCUUCUUUGCUCUCAGGCUGACAACAAAACCAAGAAUAUAAAAUCUUAUCUUGUUUCUGUGGUUAUUUCAUAUAUAUAUAUAAUUGAGAAGCAGGUCGUUAGCCCUUAACUGAAGGAAAUUUGGGAAGUUUCUUAUGAGACUCUUUCUCGUUGAAACUUCUUCCCUCAGGUUUGUGAUGGGAAUCUCACUUGCCAAUGAAAGCAGGGUGUCCGUGCUUUGUAUUCAUUUCUUCCUUGUAUCACAUUUUUCUAUCUUAUUUCUUGCAAAGUCACAAUGUUAAUUUUCUCUUCUGCAAGAUGUCUUCCAUGUGCAAGACGCUAACUUGGGGGUAAUGAUGGGAUUUAAGAUUGAGGAGUUGGUUGAAGGAUAUAAGAAAAAGGGGAAUAGUAAGGCAUGGCAUCUUUUUGUCCUUUCUUUCACUCUUAAAUUUAAAAAUGAGGAAAAAAAUCCAUAGAUUUCAUUUUUCUUCACUGGAGGAAAUUUUUCUCAGCUGUACAGGACAAGUGGACUUGAGACACAAAUAAUAAGGCCAAGAUGUUCCCAAUCUUACUAGAUUUCAUACUAGGAGUGAGAAAAACUUCCCACAGUUUGGGCUUUGCAGGAGCUUCUCCUCAGCCGCUCCCCUCUCCCGCAGUGCAGCUCCCACACCGGGAGCAGACCUGGCCCUUGUUCUGGGAGGCUUUUUCAGGCACCAUUUGGGUGCUUUGGGUGCUGGAAGUGUGAAAAGACCAGAGCUGGGGUGGGCUCAGCCCGUGAGGGGUGGUCAGGGCUUUCGCAGACGGAGGCUUGCUG